ensembl:ncRNA F09C8.6 ncRNA
AAAGGGACGGGGUGCUCCGUGAGAGCUGAGAAGAUGGAGACCUCAGUGUCCGGCAAAGAACUCACUGGGGAAUGCCCCCUUCACAAAUUCAAUGAGAAAAUGGGAGGGUAGGAAGAAAGGAGAGGAAAAGUUUGGUUGCCAAAGACAAGUGGAAGAUGGUUGUUGGCCAAAGAGUACUGGUGAUUGGGUGGGGCAAAUAAGGCAAAAG